rnacentral:pre_miRNA from 1 species
AUCAUAUUUUCUCUGUCCGAAAAUACUUGUCGAAGAAAUGGAAGUAUAUCUAGAAAUAUUUUAAUUCUAGAUAUAUUAAUUUUAUUCAUCUCUCCGACAAAUAUUUCUGAUCGGAGGGAUUAAAGC